rnacentral:misc_RNA from 1 species
GAUGAAGAACGUAGCGAAAUGCGAUAAGUAAUGUGAAUUGCAGAAUUCAGUGAAUCAUCGAAUCUUUGAACGCACAUUGCGCCCCCUGGUAUUCCGGGGGGCAUGCCUGUCCGAGCGUCAUUACAACCCUCAAGCUCAGCUUGGUAUUGGGCCCCGCCGACCCGGCGGGCCCUAAAGUCAGUGGCGGUGCCGUCCGGCUCCGAGCGUAGUAAUUCUUCUCGCUCUGGAGGUCCGGACGUGUGCUCGCCAGCAACCCCCAAUUUUUUUCAGGUUGACCUCGGAUCAGGUAGGGAUACCCGCUGAACUUAAGCAUAUCAAUAAGCGGAGGA